GCCACCCAGGCCCAGGAGGCGGGGCACCUGUUUGGUACACAGGAGACGGCGGGUUCGAUUCCCGCGGGUGGCU
rnacentral:tRNA from 1 species